AAGUUCCAAGAAUGUUGGGUUAAAGAAUCUCAAAAGCCAAAGCCAUGGUUGUUAAAAGCAUUAAACAGUAGCCUUGGAGGAAGGUUUUGGUGGGGAGGCUUUUGGAAGAUGUGACAAGCGAAAUAGAAAAGGAUACUUAAUUUUGAAGGCUUUGUGUUGGGCAGCUGUAGAAUAUUUUGUGCUGAAAGUAG